AUUGAACGCUGGCGGCAGGCUUAACACAUGCAAGUCGAGCGAGCGGCGGACGGGUGAGUAAUGUCUGGGAAACUGCCUGAUGGAGGGGGAUAACUACUGGAAACGGUAGCUAAUACCGCAUACCAUCGGAUGUGCCCAGAUGGGAUUAGCUAGUAGGUGGGGUAAAGGCUCACCUAGGCGACGAUCCCUAGCUGGGCUGAGAGGAUGACCAGCCACACUGGAACUGAGACACGGUCCAGACUCCUACGGGAGGCAGCAGUGGGGAAUAUUGGACAAUGGGCGAAAGCCUGAUGGAGCCAAGCCGCGUGGAUGAAGAAGGCCUUCGGGUUGGAAAAGACUUUUGGCGGGGAAGCGUUACCCGCAGAAGAAGCACCGGCUAACUCCGUGCCAGCAGCCGCGGUAAUAC
rnacentral:rRNA from 1 species